GAAAGCUACCUUGAAUGUCAUUAAACAAUGCAAGGAAAAUCUUUACUCACCGAAUCAUGCCAAUAGAAGCAUUUAUUUCUUGUGAUGGAUCUCUACAUUGGUUAUAGUGAGCCACAUAUAUCAAUAGGCUAGACUUCCGAAGGUCGACGAAAUAGUGAACUAUCUGAUAAUGGUUACAUAUCAUAGCUGCGUGAUAAAAUGAUGGUUCUUCGGAGCAUUUGAAUCAAAUACACAACCGAGCUACAAAAGUUUCCUUAGGGGAGAACGUUUAUUAGAUGCGCAACACUUCAUUCCCGGUCCCCCAAACCAGUGACAGUGACACUUACAUAUUAUUAGCAUUUUGUCUCCAAACUUCUCAUUUGAAAAAUGCACCCCAUGAAAUAAAUGGAGAAGUACUUAAAACUGGGCAUGUAAAGAGCAUGAAAUGCUCGUGCAAAGUUGGAAGUGGUGUCUGUAAACACGUGGCAGCUGUACUAUUAUGGUGCAAUUGACAUGACGUGGAAGGCUUGCCAAUUCUGACUUGCACGGAUAAGGAAUGUAUCUGGAAUACACCUCAAAAAUCAUCACUGCAAAAAUACGAUGCAAAUCCAUCAAUGGAGCAUGAGUGCUUUGUGGCCAGCAUGACCAAUCAAGAUCAACAGAUUCAGAAUGGCUCAACCAAACUACCUGGUGAGUAGGAUGGUAUUCAAGGACUGGACGAAUUCAAUUCUCCAGAAUUUCAAGACGAAUUAUUAACAAAAGUGAUGGUCAAAAACCGAAAUUCAGCGUUAGCACUACACGCGUAAUGAGACUGAUUUUCUUUCUGCGUUUGUGGUUAUUUUCGUCCAUUCUGAUCAUUUUGAGCGGUUUUUGUUGCAAUGAUAAUUGAUUUGAUCUUUUUUCUUUUAAUAUUUACACUCGAUCAGUUUUGAUUAUACCUAUUUU